AUUAUCUUUUACCUGGCAGGCAGGUCUUUGUAUUCUAAAGAACUUACAGCUGAAUGGACAUGCAUAUAAAAGCACUGUAGGAGUCAGAGGCAUAUGACACAGAGCACGGCUGGGCACAGGGUAGUUCCUGGACCACAUGCAGACUCAAGGAGCCCAAAAGCAUCCCCUGCAGUCCUGGGGGAGGGGCAGCUCCCCACAGCCCAAAAAUAAACUUGUUUUUUUUUUAAUGCUCUUUAAUUAUAAGGGGAAAAAGAGACCUUGCACCCUCUCUUGAGAGUGGGAGAUAUUUUUGCCAUGUUCUUCUCUCCUUCCAGCACCCCCGGGGAGUCCCAUCACCUGUAGAUGUUUGUUUUGUUUUUGCUGGUCAAUUAAAAAUUACUACUAGAAGAGGACUUUUUCCAGAUAAAGAGCAUUUUAAAAACAAAAAUACUUGGGGGGGGUUGAAUGGGGAGUAGGGAUAGUUCCCCAAGGUUCAAUGUGGGACUGUGUUGUCCUCAGAUUUAAUUCUGGAGGUUGCCAUCCUUGGCAAAGAGGGUACUCUUGCUUUGGAGGAGAGUGCAUUGCAGACAUAGAAGACACUCCCCAUCCUGCCUCAUUCCUCCCAUUACAAAUGCAGCACAAAAAAAUGAACACUCCAGGCUACUAUAUUUAUAACAAAAGAGUUACAUUAACCAUUUAACUGAAAUCACUUUUUGAUAAACUCUUGGAAAUUCUAAUAGUCUGGCCAGGGGAAAGGAACAUAACAAUGACCCAAUGUUAUCUCUGCAUCCCUGCUAGCUGCAGCCUUACCAGUGACUCAUCAAACUCCAUCUCAAGACUGAAAUUAACUGUAAACCUCAUGGCUAAAACAUUCAGCCCAAUUUUUCCAUUUUUCUCCCCAGCUUCAUUCUGGUUUUAACACUGAGCUUAAUUAAAAGUUCUCGAGAACUCAAAAAAUUUGUAUAUUACUGCAGAAUUACAUACUGACCUGCCUAUCUACUGCAGACAUCUAUAACGUUCAAGUAUUAAAUUUUUCUGCGCAUGAAAACGUAACUCAGGAUGCUAGAAUCAGAUAUGUUAGUAGAAUUUUUGUUCAAGGUGAAGCAGAAUAGCAUAUAUCGCUCUUUCAACUGAUGAGCAUAAUUUUUAAUGAUCCCUUCCUCCAUACCUAAAUUACUGAUAUAUCUGGAAUACUCAAGGGGUUUUGACAUUCAGAACAGCAGUUUCAGUAAAGAACUGGCAUUUAGGUAACAUAUUCAUGCAAGAAGCAUGAUUCUUUCAGGGCAAGUUCCAAGAUAGAAGAAGUGUGUAACAGAGUGCUAUUCUUUAAUGCUCCCCUUUCCUUGAUGCUGUGGUCUUCUGCCGUCACGUUGCUUCCAGCUUAUGAUGACCCCAUGAAUGAGUUACCUCCAAAAGGUCCUAUUACGCCCAGCCCUGCUUAAUUCUUAAAGCGGUGGCUUCAUUUAAGCCACAUCAUUAAUUCAAUCCACCUCAUAUUCAGUCUUCCGCUUUUCCUACUGUCUUCCAGAAGCCUUGUGGUACAGUGGUUAAAUUGCUGUACUGCAGACAAAUCUGUGCUCACAACCUGGGGUUCAAUCCCAGGUAGCCGGCUCAAGGUUGACUCAGUCUUCCAUCCUUCUGAGGUUGGUAAAACGAGUACCCAGCUUGCGGGGGGGGGCGUGGCAAUGUGUACUCUGCAUAAUUAACUCAUAAACCACCCAGAGAGUGCUUGAAGCACUAUGGGACGGUAACAUAAGCGUGAGCACGCUUUGCCUUUUCCAGUUUUCCUAGCAUUAUUGUCUAUUCCAUCUUGUCAUGGGGUACUAUAGCCCCAGUUUAGUCAUGUUUGUUUCUAGGCAGAGUCCAGGCUUCAUUUGAUCUGGCACCUUUUUGUUUGUCUUUCAGUACUCCACGCUGUCUGCAAAGCUCCUUUCUAAUAUCACAAUUUGAAUGAAUGAUUUUUCUUUUUUCCUGUCAGUUUUCCUCACUGUCCCAGUGGUUAUUCCUUCAUUACUCAGUUCUCCUAAACUCAAUGCCUGUUUACUUUACAUACAGCCAAGGCCAGUAGUCAUUAGGUCUAAUGGCUCCUACAAUGAAAUAUUAUGAGGCAGCCAUUCAUCACUUCAAAGGUGCUUUUAAAAACAUCUUCAUUCUGACUGAUUCUUAUUAGCCUCUUAUUCUUCCAGCUCAUUUUCCUGGUUUUGUACAUUAGUUAAUGGGCCAGAGUGAUGACUGAGAUGAUCAAAGUCAUGGGACUCAGAUGAUAACUAGGUGCUAGAAAGAGAAGAAGGUGGCCUAAGGGGGGCUUACCAUAUUCGUAUGUCUGAUGGGUUCCCUUUCUGGCCAGCAUAUUCUACCACUAAGAAUUCAGCAUUUACAGCACCAACAGCAAUAACAAAUGCUCAAAUGCUUUAAACAGUUUAACACACCUUUGUCAGAAUAACGUUGGGAUCACUUGGUUUAUUAUUUCCAGUGUGCAUUACAGGAUUGAUAGCAAACUACAGUGGUGCCUUGCUUAACGCGCGCUUCGUUUAACAACGAAUUCGCUUAGCGAUGGCUUUUUCGGAUAGCGAUGACAGUUUGGGUCCCCCUGUUUCGCUUAACGAUGGUUUUGACAGCCUCCUGUUGGCUGUUUUUUAUACGUUUAAAAAUAUUUUAAAAAUGUUUAGAAUGCUUGAAAUCAUAAGUGCACUUAAUAAACCCUGUGUUAAACUAAUUUGACUUUGUUCC
rnacentral:lncRNA from 1 species